rnacentral:lncRNA from 1 species
CCUGUCCCUCCAGCCCCACUGUCCCUAGGCCCAGCCCCAACCCAGCAGCCCAACUGCCUUUACAGCAAAAUAAGCUUCAGUGAGGUCACGUGGACUCAGGGCAGCCACACACACUCAUACGUAUCCACACUCAAACAUACAAAUACAUAUGGUCACACCAUCACCCCUGGACACACUCAUACAAGCACACACACCCUCAAAUCCAAGUGCACACAGCCUCACAGACAACACACACACAAGUGCUUGGGGCAGUGUUUACAAAGCCCUGGAGGGGCUGGGAGGCUCCCGCCCUGUGCAGGUGGUUGGAGGUGUGGAUCACCAUUAGCACCAGUGACAUUCAAGGACAGAGCCCAGAGACCCACUGCAGGGGUGCCUUCAUUGGGUCCCCUUUCCCUUUCUCGCUUCAGACUCAGUGAGAGAAACACACACCACCCCGCAAGCUUCCUAUUCCCUCUGCAGCCCAGAGAGGAUGGACCCAAGGCAGAACCAUGCCUCCUGGCUGUCGCCAAAGCCCCCUUUUCUCUGUAUCAUGUAUUUAAAACGAACUUUGCUUGUGUUGUUCCCAAUCCCCUGAAACAGCCUUCCCCUUCCAGUCCCUAAAAAGCUGUUCUGACCCCAAAAGCCGGGCUGGCAGCAUCCAAGAAGCCGUUGCAAGCCACAGGCUCACGCUGGUGCCACGUCUCUCUCCUACUGGCUGGCAUUCCAUCAGAGACCUGCAGUUUCUGUCUUCCUAGUUAGGUACCCAUUUCUUGGU